AUUGAACGCUGGCGGCGUGCCUAACACAUGCAAGUCGAGCGGUAACAGGUGUAGCAAUACAUGCUGACGAGCGGCGGACGGGUGAGUAACGCUUGGGAAUCUGCCUGUUAGUGGGGGACAACCCGGGGAAACUCGGGCUAAUACCGCAUACGCACUACGGUGGAAAGCCGGGGACCGCAAGGCCUGGCGCUAACAGAUGAGCCCAAGUCGGAUUAGCUAGUUGGUAGGGUAACGGCCUACCAAGGCGACGAUCCGUAACUGGUCUGAGAGGACGACCAGUCACACCGGAACUGAGACACGGUCCGGACUCCUACGGGAGGCAGCAGUGGGGAAUAUUGGACAAUGGGCGAAAGCCUGAUCCAGCGACGCCGCGUGGGUGAAGAAGGCCUGCGGGUUGUAAAGCCCUUUCGGUGGGGAAGAAAAGCCUCGAGUUAAUACCUCGGGGUCUUGACGUAACCCAUAGAAGAAGCACCGGCUAACUCUGUGCCAGCCGCCGCGGU
rnacentral:rRNA from 1 species